GGUCGAGUGGUGUAGUGGUGAUCACGUUCGCCUCACAUUUAGUGUCUCGCGAAAGGUCUUGGGUUCAAUCCCCGAUUCGACCU
rnacentral:tRNA from 1 species